rnacentral:lncRNA from 1 species
AGAGAAGAGGCCACAAGUCUCCUGGCAGUGGGGGAGGCCACCCUCUGCCUCUCUCGCCGCGAACGCAGAAGGCCGUAAAGACGCGAACAUCCGAAGGGCAGACGCCUGGAGAAAUGCAUAGAACAGAGGUAAUUGGAAAAGCUGUAAACUUCGAUUAAAGACUCCUGGGAGAAAUAGAAGCAGUAACAAGAUAGGAAAAGAAAUUGUAGCGAAGAAUUAAGUUCGAUUCAGAUCACUAGAGCUUGUUUAUUAAGGGAAAUUGCAUUCAUACAAACAGCUUGGCCUAUUUAAGCCACGCUUCAAAAAUUACCUCUUUCAAUAAAUAAUUAUUUGGAGCUUGUCCUCUCCGUAAAAAAUGGCUGCAGCUAUGUGUAAAUGAAUACUCACCGUAGAACAAACGAAUGUAAACAUCGUGGACUGCAAUUAUUCGUCCCUAGGAUAGCUGUAUUUUAGCGAAUCCAGAUGUUGAGCGAUUGCUUCAGAAUUGUGCAAUGUCAAGUGAUAAGCAGAUUUUGCCCAUUUCUUAAUGAGGCUUAAAAUGAUGCAUAAGUAAUGGAAAGGAGUACACAUGGUGGCCCAGGCUUAGGCCGGUCCUGGCAGCCUGGUGUGUGUCCACAGGGGAGCCCGGGUGGCUGCCGGCCACCAGGCCAUGUGGUUUGAGUUGUCUCCCACUGGGGGUGAUGGAUUUGAACUGGGCUGGCCGCAGCCCCCCACCCAAUCCCUUCUGUGACCAAAGGCGUGUGUUUGGGAGGGAGCUGGAUAUUGUCAAGGGUGGGACUGGGAUCACGGAACUGAGAAAGACAAAGAGGCCAGUGCGGUGGUGGACGCCAAGCCGCGGCCUCGUCGGCAUGUGCUGUGACCCCCGGAGCUGCCAGGUGCCUGCCUGGGGCUUGAGGGAAGAGGGCGCCAUGGGUGCUGUGCCCACCGAGGCCCGGGAAGACCCCGCCACACCCACCCUGGGAUCGAGGACCACGGGGACACGGCCGGGGCUCAGGGAGCGGAGGAGUGAGCCAGGACCACAGCGAGGCAUCAGGGGACCCGGCACUGAAGGACCUCGAAUGUGACAGCAGGAAGCCCGUCUCCAACUUCGGUUCUUGGAUAAAAUCCCUUAUCAUUGCUAUACCUGAGCCCCGCUGUCCUGGAGACUCAUGGUCAUGCACACCUACCUUUGAUACAAAGUGUGCAACUCCAGGUGGGUAACGUGACCCCCACCAUAAACGUGACCCCCACCAUAAACGUGACCCCCGUGCAACCAGGGCUCCUGUGU